AAGAACCUUACCAGAGCUUGACAUCUCCUGCAUAGUCCGUAAUGGGAUGAAAUCCUUCGGGACAGGAAGACAGGUGGUGCAUGGUUGUCGUCAGCUCGUGUCGUGAGAUGUUGGGUUAAGUCCCGCAACGAGCGCAACCCUUAUACUUAGUUGCCAUCAUUAAGUUGGGCACUCUAAGUAGACUGCCGGAGACAAUUCGGAGGAAGGUGGGGAUGACGUCAAAUCAUCAUGCCCCUUAUGUUCUGGGCUACACACGUGCUACAAUGGGUAUAACAACGGGAAGCAAGCCAGUGAUGGUGAGCAAAUCCCUAAAAAAUACUCCCAGUUCAGAUUGUUCUCUGCAACUCGAGAACAUGAAGUCGGAGUUGCUAGUAAUCGCGAAUCAGAAUGUCGCGGUGAAUGCGUUCCCGGGUCUUGUACACACCG
rnacentral:rRNA from 1 species